rnacentral:rRNA from 1 species
CCCGCUAAUUUAGCUUGUUGGUGAGGUAAUGGCUUACCAAGGCAAUGAUCAGUAGCUGGUCUGAGAGAUGAUCAGCCACACUGGGACUGAGACACGGCCCAGACUCCUACGGGAGGCAGCAGUGAGGAAUUUUCCGCAAUGGGCGACAGCCUGACGGAGCAAUGCCGCGUGAAGGAUGAAGGCCUAUGGGUUGUAAACUUCUUUUCUCAGAGAAGAAGCAUUGACGGUAUCUGAGGAAUAAGCAUCGGCUAACUCUGUGCCAGCAGCCGCGGUAAGACAGAGGAUGCAAGCGUUAUCCGGAAUGAUUGGGCGUAAAGCGUCUGUAGGUGGCUUAAAAAGUCUCCUGUCAAAGAUCAGGGCUUAACCCUGGGCCGGCAGGAGAAACUCUUAGGCUAGAGUUUGGUAGGGGCAGAGGGAAUUCCCGGUGGAGCGGUGAAAUGCGUAGAGAUC